CGGCAAUAGCCUAAAACUCAAAGGACUUGGCGGUGCUUUAUAUCCCUCUAGAGGAGCCUGUUCUAUAAUCGAUAAACCCCGAUAAACCUUACCAAUCCUUGCUAACACAGCCUAUAUACCGCCAUCUUCAGCAAACCCUUAAAAGGAACAAAAGUAAGCACAACCACAACACAUAAAAACGUUAGGUCAAGGUGUAGCCUAUGGAAUGGGAAGAAAUGGGCUACAUUUUCUACCUUAAGAA
rnacentral:rRNA from 1 species